rnacentral:tRNA from 1 species
GGGGUAGUAGCUCAAUCGAGUUAGAGCAAGCGACUCUUAAUCGCUCGUCGAAGGUUCAAGUCCCGCCUCCCGCU